rnacentral:rRNA from 1 species
AUUGACCGCUGGCGGCAGGCCUAACACAUGCAAGUCGAGCGAGCGGCGGACGGGUGAGUAAUGUAUGGGGAUCUGCCCGAUAGAGGGGGAUAACUACUGGCAACGGUAGCUAAUACCGCAUACUAUCGGAUGAACCCAUAUGGGAUUAGCUAGUAGGUGAUGUAAAGGCUCACCUAGGCGACUCUCUCUAGCUGGUCUGAGAGGAUGACCAGCCACACUGGAAAUGAGACACGGCCCAGACUCCUACGGGAGGCAGCAGUGGGGAAUAUUGCACAAUGGGCGCAAGCCUGAUGCAGCCAUGCCGCGUGUAUGAAGAAGGCCUUCGGGUUGUAAAGUACUUUCAGCGGGGAGGCGUUACCCGCAGAAGAAGCACCGGCUAACUCCGUGCCAGCAGCCGCGGUAAUUC